rnacentral:rRNA from 1 species
UACGGGGGGGGCGAGCGUUGUUCGGAAUUACUGGGCGUAAAGCGUGCGCAGGCGGUUUCUUAAGUCAGAUGUGAAAGCCCCGGGCUUAACCUGGGAACUGCGGUUGAAACUGGGAGACUUGAGUGUGGCAGAGGGGGGUGGAAUUCCACGUGUAGCAGUGAAAUGCGUAGAUAUGUGGAGGAACACCGAUGGCGAAGGCAGCCCCCUGGGUUAACACUGACGCUCAUGCACGAAAGCGUGGGGAGCAAACAGG